GGACGCCGGGGUGAUCAUGGACGCUUGACAACCUGCGGGCAGGCGCCGGGAGGCCGAGCCAGCGACUAAGAGGACCGAGAGGUGGCGUGGACAGAUUUCAAGGCCAGAGAAUGGCAGGGGAACAGAAACCCUCAAGUAAUCUCCUGGAGCAGUUUAUUUUACUAGCCAAAGGUACCAGUGGCUCAGCCCUCACUGCUCUCAUAAGCCAGGUCUUAGAGGCUCCUGGAGUGUAUGUCUUUGGAGAACUUCUGGAGCUGGCCAACGUGCAGGAGGUAAGAACGGUUUGCAAACAAUUUCUCUUUGUUCUAAGACUCUCUGUAAUUCUCCAGGUUUCCAAAGAAUUUCAGUGCUGAAGUGUUGUGAACCUGUGAGGUACCCUAUUGUGAGACGGAUGGGAAUUGGUGGGGCAGAGGAAGAGACUGAGAGAAUGUCCUUGGCUCCUUUUAUCCAGUAUUUUUAUCUUACCUUGGGUAAAAUUAGAUUGUUGCUAAUAGUAAUCUAAAAGAUAGUAAAAAAGUCAAAUUGAUCCUGAUAAAUUAGAAAAGUAGUGCUGUAAGCAUGGGCUGAUGUUUAAUAGGAGUAGAUUCAUGCAUUCUUAGGGACCAGAAACCUCCAGUGCAAUAUUGAUAAGGAAGAUUGGUCAGGGACACACAGCAGAAACAUACUGCUAUUGAACAUAAGAUGGACAUGAAUA
rnacentral:sRNA from 1 species